CGAUAGCGUAUAUUAAAGUUGUUGCAGUUAAAAAGCUCGUAGUUGGAUUUCUGGUAGGAGCGACCGUGCCGAACUUGAUUGUUCGAGUAUUGUGUUGUCUUCAGCCAUCCUCGUGGAGAACUUUUCUAACAUUAACUUGUUGGGAUUGGGACCCGCGUCGUUUACUGUGAAAAAAUUAGAGUGUUUAAAGCAGGCAUUAGCUUGAAUACAUUAGCAUGGAAUAAUAAGAUAGGACUUUGGUACUAUUUUGUUGGUUUGCAUACCAAAUUAAUGAUCAACAGGAACAGUUUGAGGAUAUUCGUAUGAACAUGUCAGAGGUGAAAUUCUUGGAUUUUGAUCAGACGAACUACUGCGAAAGCAUUUAUCAAGGAUGUUUUCAUUAA
rnacentral:rRNA from 1 species